UCAAUUUUGGUAAUUAAUCCG
rnacentral:piRNA from 1 species